CUACCAUAGACCAGAUGAAUGGCUGCCGCAAAAUGAUGCUGCAUUACGUCCGGUAUCGCCGUUAGGCAUUCCAUCAGACGGCCGGCUCCUAGCCAACGUGAAACGAAGGUUAUUUAUCUGUACCAGCGUGCGAAUCUACGCCAUAAGAUUAGCAGGAAUAACCUUCAGAUAUCGAAAGGCGAAUUCAACAGGGCGAGCGAUAAAGGACUGUGGGUAACGAAGCAGAAAAGAACGUUGGAUAUUUGGGGAAUGGCUGGGCUUUUUGACGGAGGAACCAACCAUUUGGCGUUGACUCAUUUGAAAAUACACGAAAAGUUCUUUGGUCCGGGUUAUUUUCUGAGUAAUCUUAUCAUUUGGGAAGUGAAAUUACUGCUAUCUUCAAGUGGGCAAUUUCGAGUGUGUCACGCCAACGGGGCGUAACUAUAUGAUGAAGGCUAUCAUUACGCGAAGGCAACAUGUCAGCGCCACGACACAUGUCUGGUGGCCUUACCUUGGCUCGACUAAGCCAAAGGCUCGCUUUCACUCGAAUGCCUAGAAAACGUUAGCUCUGGAAGAUUGGGAGCCUCGAAGAGGAGGCUGUUCGUCUGUGAUAUAUGGCGUUUCGUCCUUCCAUGCCCUGCCUUACAAAGCUCGAUCGGACAGCAUUUAAUAUAUAUGUACGAGACCUGAUUAAACGCACGUAUCGUACAUGGGAUUCUCUGAUGGGUAUAAACCGA